UGCUAGUCGCACGGGUUCAGACCCGUGGCGAAUAGCUCCGUAACACGUGGCCAAACUACCCUACGGAGCGGUAUAACCUCGGGAAACUGAGGCUAAUCCCGCAUACGCGUCUCACGCUGGAACUGCCGAGACGCCCAAACGCUCAGGCGCCGUAGGAUGUGGCUGCGGCCGAUUAGGUAGACGGUGGGGUAACGGCCCACCGUGCCGAUAAUCGGUACGGGUUGUGAGAGCAAGAGCCCGGAGACGGAAUCUGAGACAAGAUUCCGGGCCCUACGGGGCGCAGCAGGCGCGAAACCUUUACACUGCACGCACGUGCGAUAAGGGGACCCCAAGUGCGAGGGCAUAUAGCCCUCGCUUUUGUGAACCGUAGGGAGGUUCACGAAUAAGAGCUGGGCAAGACCGGUGCCAGCCGCCGCGGUAAUACCGGCAGCUCGAGUGAUGACCGAUAUUAUUGGGCCUAAAGCGUCCGUAGCUGGCCAGGCAAGUCCAUCGGGAAAUCCGCACGCCCAACGUGCGGGCGUCCGGUGGAAACUGCCUGGCUUGGGACCGGAAGACCCGACGGGUACGUUCGGGGUAGGAGUGAAAUCCCGUAAUCCUGAACGGACCACCGAUGGCGAAAGCACGUCGGGAAGACGGAUCCGACGGUGAGGGACGAAAGCUAGGGUCUCGAACCGGAUUAGAUACCCGGGUAGUCCUAGCCGUAAACGAUGUCUGUUAGGUGCGGUACUGACUAC
rnacentral:rRNA from 1 species